UACGUAGGGUGCGAGCGUUAAUCGGAAUUACUGGGCGUAAAGCGUGCGCAGGCGGUUCGUUGUGUCGGCGGUGAAAGCCCCGGGCUUAACCUGGGAACGGCCGUUGAAACUGGCGAACUGGAGUGUGGCAGAGGGGGGGUGGAAUUCCGCGUGUAGCAGUGAAAUGCGUAGAGAUGUGGAGGAACACCGAUGGCGAAGGCAGCCCCCCUGGGUCAAGAUUGACGCUCAUGCACGAAAGCGUGGGGAGCAAACAGG
rnacentral:rRNA from 1 species